UAUGUAGGCAGCGAGCGUUGUUCGGAAUUACUGGGCGUAAAGAGUGCGUAGGCGGUGCUCUAAGUCUGGUGUGAAAUCUCCCGGCUCAACUGGGAGGGUGCGCCGGAAACUGGAGUGCUCGAGUGUGGGAGAGGUAAGCGGAAUUCCUGGUGUAGCGGUGAAAUGCGUAGAUAUCAGGAGGAACACCUGUGGUGUAGACAGCUUACUGGACCACGACUGACGCUGAGGCACGAAAGCGUGGGUAGCAAACAGGAUUAGAUACCCUGGUAGUCCACGCCCUAAACGAUGCAUACUCGGUGUGAGCGAUUCAUUUCGUUCGUGCCGGAGCUAACGCGUUAAGUAUGCCGCCUGGGGAGUACGGUCGCAAGGCUGAAACUCAAAG
rnacentral:rRNA from 1 species